CCCGCAAGGGGCGAGUAGAGUGGCAAACGGGUGAGUAACACGUGGGUGACCUGCCUUCGAGCGGGGGAUAACGUCCCGAAAGGGACGCUAAUACCGCAUGACAUCCUGCCUUUGAAGAGGUGGAGAUCAAAGCUGGGGAUCGCAAGACCUAGCACUCGAAGAGGGGCCCGCGCCUGAUUAGCUAGUUGGUGGGGUAACGGCUCACCAAGGCGACGAUCAGUAGCCGGCCUGAGAGGGCGGACGGCCACACUGGGACUGAGACACGGCCCAGACUCCUACGGGAGGCAGCAGUGGGGAAUUGUUCGCAAUGGGCGCAAGCCUGACGACGCAACGCCGCGUGGAGGACGAAGACCUUCGGGUCGUAAACUCCUUUCGAUCGAGACGAAUGGCCUCCGGGUGAACAAUCCGGAGGAAUGACGGUACCGAGAGAAGAAGCCCCGGCUAACUCCGUGCCAGCAGCCGCGGUAAUACGGGGGGGGCAAGCGUUGUUCGGAAUUACUGGGCGUAAAGGGCUCGUAGGUGGCCAACUAAGUCAGACGUGAAAUCCCUCGGCUUAACCGGGGAACUGCGUCUGAUACUGGAUGGCUUGAGAUUGGGAGAGGGAUGCGGAAUUCCAGGUGUAGCGGUGAAAUGCGUAGAUAUCUGGAGGAACACCGGUGGCGAAGGCGGCAUCCUGGACCAACACUGACACUGAGGAGCGAAAGCCAGGGGAGCAAACGGGA
rnacentral:rRNA from 1 species